CCAAAGCUGCAGCAGGCCCCAGCAAGCCCACUCCGUUGUCCCAAGAAAUAGUUCCAUAGGGCCACAGGCCAUGUGAGCAAGGGUGCUUGUUGAGACAGCCUAGCCCAAUGAGCCGCCAGGGAUAUCUCAUGGCCAUCAGUGGGGCAUAGGACAGAGGAACUGUCCUCCCAGGCAGGAUGUAAGGCAUUCCAGCUCUUAGGAAGAAUGCAGAGUUGGGCAUGGUGGUGCAUGUCUGUCAUGCCAGCCCUCUAGGAGGCUGAAGUAGGAGGAUCACAAGUUUGAGCCUUAGCAUGAUCCUACUCAAAAUGAAAAAACUAAAAAGGGCUGGGGAUACAGCUCAGUGCGAAGGCCCUGGGUUCAAUCCUCAGUACUGUAAAAACAAAAUGGAACAAAAUACAGCCAUUUAAGACAUUGUAGAGGGUAAACUAGCUUGGGUCAAUACACUGUGGGCUCCCUUUAUGUUCUGAGAGAAACAGAGCCAUCAAAUGAGUGAUUUCUCUUGGUUUAACAGAGGAGCAGAUAAGCCCCCAAGACAGCAAACAGUGGGGUCCUCCAAUGAGUGUCCCCCAAGAACAGCACUGGUGUUUUCCUCGUGGCGCUUGAAGCUUUAUAAAAAGGCUAUUCUAGUGCCUUACUGUUAAAAUUAGAAAUAAAAGCCAAAACAUGCAAAAGAGAAAAUAAAAAUGCCUCCUGGUCAAUUAUGUUGUGAAAUGGCUCAAAACAGAGACCAAGAAUCAAGCCGGGCCAGCGAGCAGGUGAUUGCAGAGUGGUGGGAGCCAACCUCUCCGCCCCCCAGGCUCAGGCCCAGAGCCUGCCAAGACGCCCCCUCCCUGCCUUGCUGCCUCAGAGCAGGCAGGAAGCAGCUGUGGAUCCCACUGCCUUCUUAGUCAGAAGGGGAAAAUGAGGGCCUGGGGUAGGGCCAAGUCAGCCCCCACCUCCUCCCCACUGUUCAGAUCAACAGGCUCUUUUCGCACCCCUCCCUCUGGCUCUCUAGCGUGCUCCACCAUGGCCCACUUACUACAUGAUAGAGCUUCCAAAGCCACUUAACCUCUCCAAGUCUCCGUUCCCUGUCUGAGCAGGAGGGUGCUAACAUCUGCCCAAUGGGAUCAUGGAGAACUGCAAUUGAGACUGUGGAAGGAGACUGCUAGGGAACAAGCUGCUCCUACGCGCCUGGUCCCACCUCCCUCAGUUUCCUCUCCCAAACCAGCCUAGGUGAGUUGAAGACAGGGCCUUGUGACAAUGGACGAGGACCUGGGCUGCCCUAGCUCUUGAGCCUCAGCUGGGGACUCCAUUCCUGAUGUGGGACUCUGCAACCAAGACACUGCCAUGCUCUGGUGCUAUGGCUUGAAGUGUCCCAAAGAUUCAGCUGCUGGAACCUGAAUCUCCAGUGCAACAGUAUUAGCCCACAUAAGGGCCAGCGAAUGGAUUCAUGCUGACAGCACAGGACGGGGUUAGGCAGCACUGCAGUAGAAUCGCUGCAAAGGCGGGUUUGGCCCCCUCUCACAUGUGCUUUCUCGUCCUGUGACGCCUCCAUCUGUGCUAUGAUACAGCAGGAAGGCACUCACCAGAUUUGGCCCCUCAGUCUGGGGCUUUCCAAACUCAUCAGCCAAAUAAACUACUUAUCAAUCAUCCAGUCUGAUGGCAGCAGAAAAUGGACUGAAGCUGGGUUUGUGGUGCUGUGGGACACACAGGCUUCUGCCAUGGUUAAAGUCCUUUGGCACCUGAAGGCUCUUGGGUAAGUCCUUUUGCUCCCCUCACGACCCUCUCCUUGCCCACAAACAGGGACAACUGACCAUUCACACCAGGAGGCCGGAGCACAGAGCUGGCAAGGUGGCCUCAUCCAGUCCUCUGUGAUGCUUCUUCUGCCCUGCCCCUCCCACACCAGGCCCCUGGGGAGGCAGUGCAGCUCACCUGGGCACCAGGCAUUGAAGAGCAGGGCGGCGUGCCCCAACACGAAGCUGGAGCCCUGGUAGCCUGUGGAGGCUUCCAGACUGAGGCGAUAUAGGCCAAUGGGGGCGCCAGCCGGGGUGUUGAGGCAGCAGCGCAGAGGACACCAUCCUGCUGGUCCACCGCUGAGGCUGACCAGGCACACCCAUCCACAGCAUCGGACAGCGAGAAGCGAGCCUUGGUCCCGGCCUCUUCGCUGGGGCUGGGCCUGCG
rnacentral:lncRNA from 1 species